UACGUAGGGUGCGAGCGUUAAUCGGAAUUACUGGGCGUAAAGCGUGCGCAGGCGGUUUUGUAAGCCAGAUGUGAAAGCCCCGGGCUUAACCUGGGAACUGCAUUGGUGACUGGCAGGCUUUGAGUGUGGCAGAGGGAGGUAGAAUUCCACGUGUAGCAGUGAAAUGCGUAGAGAUGUGGAGGAAUACCGAUGGCGAAGGCAGCCUCCUGGGCCAACACUGACGCUCAUGCACGAAAGCGUGGGGAGCAGACAGG
rnacentral:rRNA from 1 species